GCAUAUCAGAGGGAAUACAAUGGUAGAAUAGUCAUAGGGCAUAAGAAGUAUUAAACAAAAUGGCAUUUCAAUUCAAGAUGAUUUAAACAAAAAAAAUAUCAUAAAUGGACACAAUUGUCAUCAGAAAAACUACAGCUAAUGUGCUAAAAUACUGGUGCUGGUAACCAAGGCCAAAUAUCUUGUUAUAAACAAGGGACAAUUAAGACUUAGAAUCAUCCUUCUGGACUUGGAUUGUAGUAUACAGGAAAAUACCAUAUAGUCAGUAUAGCCAACAGCACGUGGUUCUAAAUCGCCAAAACAGGACAUACGGGACUUAUGUAGAUGCUCACCAGGAACAUUCUAAAUGUGACCCAUUUCUUAUAAGCAAACCCAAUAAUAUGUAACAGGUCCAAAGUGUAGUAAAAUAAACUGUCCAUACAUAUACAAGCUAUUAAUUUAUACUGCUAAUGCACUUACUUGAGAAACGACAAAAAGUAACAAAGCAGGUGGCAUAAACACAAACAGUCCACUGCAGGCAUGAGCUUGACUAGCCUUCUUGCCAUCUCAACUGGGAGAUAGUUUAGGUCAGAUCUAAGGUCACAAAAAAUGUACACGCAGCGAGGCACCUUUCAUAGGGCUGUGUGUACUGGUUCUCCAGGCAGAGAGAGGCUGAACUCCAAAUUUCAAAACUUAAGAUAAAACCGUAAACCUUGCAAAAAGGAGAAACUAUUCAAAGACAAUAAAACACAAAAAAAGACUGGAGAAUCUAUGAGGGUAUUUAUAAUUGCGUUUCCUAUCCUAAACAGCCAAGUGGGUGGAUAUAACCCUACUGUGAUUCUGCUAUGCAUCUGUCCUUUUUUUUUUAACAAUGGCAUUACUACUGUAUAUUGUGGGUGACUACCAAAUUGUUUAAAUCAAUCCUUCAUUUGUGUAACAAAUGAGUGAAGAUUCAUU